ACCAGGGACAGCUGACUGUUGAGCACACAGCUUUCCUGCUGCAGCCAGUGUUCGUGGAAAAAGGAGUUUAGUGACCGCGGAGAAGGAGGAGACGAGUUUUAGUGGAAGCAAUCGGCUGCAGCAUGUCUGAAUACCCGAGCUUCCAGUCCGGCACGUCUCGGUUCGACCAGAACACGUUUUUUGGUCGGUUCCGGCACUUCUUGGAUGUGAUUGACCCCAGAACACUCUUCGUGACAGAGAAACGGCUGCAGGACAGCGUCGAGCUGCUUGAACGUUUCAAACAAGGAACUCUGCCUCCAGGAGUGACAGAUGCUCAGCUUUGGCAAGCCCAGAAAAUAAAGCAGGCCAUCAUCCACCCUGACACAGGGGAGAAGAUCCUCAUGCCCUUUCGGAUGUCAGGUUUUAUCCCAUUUGGCACACCAGUGGUUGUUGGUCUCCUUCUCCCAAAUCAAACACUGGUGUCAACUGUCUUCUGGCAGUGGUUGAACCAAAGUCACAAUGCCUGCGUUAACUACUCCAACCGCAACGCCUCCAAGCCCGCUCCGGUUACCAAAUUCGUUCAGGGAUACCUCGGAGCGGUGACCAGUGCAGUGUCCAUUGCUGUUGGGCUGAAUGUUUUAAUCCAGAAAGCAAACCGCUUCAACCCAACCACCAGGCUUUUGGUGCAGAGGUUCAUCCCCUUCCCAGCAGUGGCGAGUGCAAAUGUCUGCAACGUGGUGCUCAUGAGACACACCGAGCUUUCAGAGGGCAUCAGUGUGCUUGACGAUAACGGGAACGUGGUGGGGACAUCGAAAGUGGCUGCCAGGCAUGCACUUUUGGAGACAGCCCUGACUAGAGUGGUGCUGCCCAUGCCGAUCCUGGUGCUUCCUCCCAUGAUCAUGGCUGUACUGGAAAAGCUUCCUCUGCUGCAGAAACAUCGGAGGCUCGUCCUGCCGGUCCACAGUCUGGUUUGUCUCGCUGCCUUCAGCUUGGCUCUGCCGCUCGCCAUCAGCCUCUUCCCACAGAUGUCACAGAUCAGCGUGGAUCAGCUGGAGCCGGAGAUCGCCAUGGCAACAGAUCGUAAGAUCGUGACAUACAAUAAAGGGCUGUGAGCCAUCCUGACCCGGACGCGUGAAGAUCGAACCCGCUGCUCAUCGCGGUUCGAAGCUGCCAGAGAAGGGAUUGUGUAUGUUUGCACGGUUGCCGAGGGAACGCGGCACAGUAGGGUUGCGAUGCGGCGUAAUUCGACAAGACGCCGCAUGCAGGAUGAGCGGAGGAGAUGCUGGGUGUGAGAUGUGGAGCGCAGGAAGGGUGAGACAAAUAAAAACAAAACGCCAUUCACAAAACCUACUGUAGCUCAGUUUUAUCUCACUCUGUGUGAUAUUGGAAUCAUAUCUGGUUGAAGAAUUUCACUCGAAAUUAUGGUCUCGUGUCAUAUUUUAGCUAGAAUGUAUAUAUAAAUCCACAGUGAAUUUGAUUUUUUGAAUAAAUAGCAGUUCUGUGUUGAUUUUAGCUCAUUUGCAUCUUCUUUUCUGAGGGAUUUCUAAAUGCUACAUCACUUUUUUUAGUUAUAUAAAUGCUGUUCAAUUAUGUGAAGUUUCAGAAAUGUAUGCUAAUAUGAGUAACAGUGCAUAUUGAGUGUUGGUUUCAGUGUUUAACGUGUGAUUUGUAAUUCAGCCUGUUUACUACACUGCAUGAUUUAUCGCUCAACGUGGAAUUUUAAAGCCAAACAUGUAAUUUGUCUUGCUGGCUGUGAAAAUAGAAGGUUUCAGCCGCCUGGUAAUCAAAUAAUACUGAUUAAAGCAGUGACUCGGUGGAGUUUUCUAACACCUUUGCAGCAGCGGGGAUCUGUCGGCUCCUUCCCUCCGCCUCGCAGCUCUUGGUUCCUCCGGAGAGACUCUUGUUUUCCACGACGGAUUCCUCCCGUCUGCUGACUCAGGCGGCAGGAGACGAGCAUGAUUUUCCCCUUUAAUUGUUUCCCUAACAGACGCCUUAAGAGCUCUUAUUAAAUCGCGCUGACCUUUUACCUAACCGGGAUGUGGUCGGCCUUAACUGAGCAGCUAAUGGGGAGGCUUUCAGUGCUGCUGCGCCGCUCAAAACGCACAUUUGAUGGUGUUUAUUUGGACGAUAAGGAGUCCCUUUUGCACCUGCAGCGAGUAUAGGAUGUCCUGGGAACUCAAAACAACACAUGUGGCCCCCUUUUGCACCUCCAGAUGUAUUGUGCACCUUUUGUGAAAAGGUGAGACUAUUGCAGUGUAUUUCACUCUCACGUCUCCCCUCUUUUCUCCCCCUCUUAGCUUACAAAACAAGACAUCGGGGUCAGACGUCAGGGCUUCACCUCCAAAACCCUCGGGGUCAUUAGACGGAGAUUCCUUCCGUUACCUUUGACAGGUGAUUACUGAGGCGGUUGGUGAAAGGACUGCGGCACAAUAGUAACUACUUUCCCUCUUUUUUUUCAGAGCUUGCACCCUCUGGAUGGGAAUUAUUUCUGCCGGAAUUCAGAGGAAGUUCCGGCCGAUAGAUAAACUCAGGCUGUUUGCCAGCUGCUUCCUCUCUGCUCCCACCACGUAGUGAUUCUUCUCGAAGGCUCGUUCCAGACGCAGCAGCUGCGACGGAGAAAAGGCCGUCCGGAUGCGUUUGGGUUUCCUGGCGAAGGGGCCGUGGAGCAGCAGGCUGUCCUGGGACACGUCGUUACCUGGAGUCACACAAACGGCCAGUCGGGCUUCAGCGGACAGCGUCAGUCCGUUUCCGCCUGGACGGACGGACGGUCGGACGUGGAGCUGCAGUCGUCUGGAGGCUGGACACCUGCAGGAUGGAGAAGCAGUGAGAACAUUGCUGUUUGCAGGACGAUCCAGGAGAGGAGAGGAGAGGAGAGGAGAGUCUUUACCGGCAGCUUCAGCCUCACCUGGACCAUGAAAGGCGUCCAGCAGGAGACAGUCCAGCCACUAUGACCACCAGUUUCUUGAUAAAUGUCUACAACGACCUCCCGUCUCUGCUGAUCUGUGAAGCCUCCCUCUGGAACCUGCAGCGGUUUUAAAUGGGGGUUUCUUCCCAGGUGCUCUGUGGACCCCCCCGUCUUUAAUGGAGGUUCCGGUGUUUUAUCCUCCUGACUGUCCUGCUGCAGCUUCAGUUCCCAGAAGUUUACAGUCGUCCCUCCUCAGUUGUCAUCUUUAGUGUCCGUCCAUGUAAGUCUGCAGCAGAUCAAAGCCUCCGUCUCCCUGGAGAAUCCCCAGACAAAGACAGAAAUGUGGACUUUGUAGACCAAUGAUGGACUGAGCGCCAUAAUUAGCGGCGCAGACGGCCCAGCUAAAGGCACAUUACACCUCACUUCCACCUCGCGGCUUUUAACUUAUGCAAAGAGCCGAGGACACGGCGGCUAAUUUAGUGUUUUUACAAGAGCAGACUGAACACUUCAAACGAGACCACACACAGACCGACAGGUAGGAAGUGGUCUGAUGAACAUCUGCUGACAUCUGGUGGAAGAACAGAGCAGAAACAGUUGAUAGAAACAAGAACACAGGUUUGAUAAUGUUUUUCAGUUGACCAAUUAAACUUUUACAAGAAGAAAUCAUAUAACAAUAAAGGAAACAAAGAAUAUUAGGUGUAAAAUAGGUCAAAUAAGAACAAAACCAGCUGAAAGGAUUAAAAAAAAAGUACAAUUCUACAUAAAGACAUGAAAAAGUGCACACAUCCCACUGAAAUUGUUGACUUUUUGACAUAUUUAAACAUGCAAGUGUUUGAUCUUUUUUGAAAUACAGUUAUAUGUUCAAAUUACAGAAAUCUGGUAUUUUAAGAUCUAAAAGUUUCUUUGCACUAUGAAUUCUGCAGCCAUUUGUCUGAAAUUUGACGUUUUCCUCUGAACUGGGGUUUUCAACAGGAUACUGCUCCUAAGCAGACGAGCAAAUCCACAUAGAUUAGCUUCAAAAAGUGAAAAAAUAGAGAGUUAUUUAAAGGGUGAAGUUUAAAUUCUCUUGAAAUGUUGUGAAAACUCUCAAACAUCUUGAAACUGAAGGGAUUUUGCAUGAAAGAGUGGUCAAAAAUGUCCACAAAACUGAUUACAAGAAGUUAUUUCUGCUAAACAGGCUAUUGAGGUCAAGGUAUACUUACUUUUUAGUACAUUUAUAGGCAUUUUUAUUGAUUAAAUGAUUGAAAAAGCCAUGUAAGUUGUUUUAAAUCCUGUAUUUAGUGGCUUUAAACCAGCAUUCAUUGUUUUUACUCAUUUCUAUUUUCACAAAACUUUAUUUUAGACUAAUAUCUUGACUCAAAGCAUAACUUGUUUAUUUUGGACAAAAAACCAGCACCAAGCUGCUCAACUUUAACAGCAACCAUGACCAACUCCGCUCUGAUUUACAUCUUUUUCUUCAUCAUUGUUUCUAAAAUCUCCGUUUCUUUCCAUUCACUGAAUCUCUGUUCACAUGUACAUAGGUAUUUUUUUAAAAUAUGUAGCUUUUUCUCGCGUUUUGGCCUUUCACCGGCAUGUAAAUGCAGUUUUUAAAAAUAUUUUUUUUGUGAAGUGUUCACAUUAUCACCUUUAUUUAUAUAAGCCGACAAAAUAGUGGAAGACUUUAUUAUACAUAAUAAAGUCAUCAAUAAAAAAUACAUCUUUAUACAUAAAUUCUAUUCAGAAAUGUCAGGUUUUAUAUUGUUUGUGGCCUACAUGAGGAAGGAAAUGCCAUUUUUAAGGCUUCUGACUUGCCAAUAUGCUUUAUCGUCAGGAUUAUGUCGCCCCCUGCUGGUGUGUCAGACUCAUUACAUGGACUCAAUUGUGUUUUUGAAUGAACAUCAGGAUGGGGGUUGUUAAUAUAUAAUGUUAGUCAUAAUUCGGAAAGCCCCUGUUUAAACAGUCCCUCUUUAGUUUGAAACUAGUAAACAUAGUAAAAGUUACGCAUUUUAAAAAUAAAACUCAUUAAUGUGGACUUGGUCUGUAAUCAAAGUUACUCCAAGAAGGAAGACCUUGUUGGUAAACCUGUUAUUAAUUCACUUCCUGACACCUGAUCUGCUCCUGAUGAUGGUUUUAUAGUAAAACUAAAAGAUUGAAACUUUUUUUUUUUUUUUUUUUGGAGUAAAUGUACAAAUAUACAGCGUGCUUUAAAUCAGAAAUGCGUCGCUCUAAAUUCAAUUUGGUGGGAAAUUAUUUUCUGAUCCAGGGAGAAAAUUGAUGUUAGCAGAAUUUCUCAGCUAAACAUGUACAACAUUAUGUUAAAUAAGAGGGAGCACUGAUGUGACUAAUAAUCAAGCAUCAACCAGCUGAAAUGGACCCUUUAUUGUCAUUAAUUAGAAUACAUACAUAUCAGCUGCCUUUGUAAUGUCAUGUCAAAAUUUCUACAGCAAGAAAGUCCUGGUUUCUUUCACUACAGCACACUUUCACCUGACAUUUUUUCCCCUUUACUAGAUAGUCAAAGUGGAAAUGUGGUGAAAGAGAGAGCGAGAGGAAGAUCCAGCCAACUGAAAUGUAUGAAAUGAACCUGAAAUAAUGACAUUAAUUUGACUUUCUUUUGUAAUGCCUUUUCACUUCAUUAUGUUGUUUAUUCCAUUGAAUGUAACACAUUUAUUUGAAUCACAAUCAAUUUGAUCACUUUUCAUCAUAUAUUUAGAAACCUAAAGGAUAAAGCAGACAGGGACCCUGAGAUGUACCAACACCGCCCCCAUGUGGUUAUUAGAAGAAUUAUAUCUAAACGUCAUUAUAUUGCAUUGUGUUAUGCUAUGAUAUGCUAUGCUAUAUAAUGCAAUGCUAUGUCAUGCUAUGCUAUGCUAUCCUAUGUUAUGUUUAGUUAUGCUAUGCUACGUCAUAUAAUGCUAUGCUAUGCUAUGUCAUGCUAUCCUAUGCUAUGUUUAGUUAUGCAAUGCUAUAUCAUGUCAUGCUAUACUGUGCAAAGCUCUGUCAUGUCAUGCUAUGCUAUUUUAAACUAUGCUAUGCUAUACUAUGCUAUGCUAUGUUAAGUUAUGCUAUGUUUCGUGGUGUUGUGUUAUGUUGUGGUAUGUCAUGUCAUGCUAUGCUAUGCUAUCUUAUGCUGUGCUAUGCUAUGUCAUGCUAUGCUAUGUAAUGUCAUGCUAUGCUAUGCUAUGUCAUGUCAUGCUAUGCUAUGCUAUGCUAUCUUAUGCUAUGCUAUGCUAUGUUAUGUCAUAGUGCCCCAUUCACAGUCAUAGACAUCUACAGCAUGUCAGCUUGCUCCUAAAGAACUGAACAUAUUUACAUUUAUUUAUGUCAGCUCUUGUUUUUAAUUCUUGUUGUUCUUGGUUCUGACAGAAGUAAAUAAAUUAUAUUUCUUGCUUAAACUUUGUUAUAACAAACAGAAAUGUUAUUUCUGAUUUAUUGUACUUAACUGUCUUCUCUUUGUUACAAAAAAAUGUGGAAUUUGUUGUUUUUAUUGCUGAAAACAAUGACAUAAUCUAAUACAUUGGCCAGUCUCAUCUACUUUGGUGAAUUAUUAUUCACCUGUGAAUGUAUCACAGUUGAAUAAAGUGCAUCUUCCUAUGUACUUUUUA